GGGAGUAUAGCUCAGUAGUAGAGUGCAUGCAUUGCAUGCAUGAGGUCCUGGGUACAAUCUCCAGUACCUCUG
rnacentral:tRNA from 1 species